AUGACAAAAGUCUUCGGUGGAGGAACAAAACUUGUUCUCAUAGAUAAAAGUUACGGGGACAUUUCCCCCAAGCCCACAAUUUUUCUUCCUUCAGUUGCUGAAAUAAAUCUCCAUAAGGCUGGGACCUAUCUUUGUCUUCUGGAGAAAUUUUUCCCUGAUAUUAUUAAGGUAUACUGGAAAGAAGAGGAUGGGAAUACGAUUCUUAAAUCCCAGCAAGGAGACACCAUGAAGAUGAAGGACACUUACUUGAAGCUUAGCUGGCUAACGGUGACCGGAGCUUCAAUGGAUAAAGAGCACAAAUGCAUUGUCAAACAUGAGAAAAAUCAAGGAAGGGUAGAUCAAGAGAUUCGUUUUCUUCCAGUGAACAAAGGCAUGUGUCUAUAA